GCGGUAGCUCGCUUGAUUAUCCGGCGGAGGUUUUAAGAUGGAAGAUAAGCGAACAUGAGCCUACGAUUGGCCCACUCAGGGAAGUCAUGAAAUUGUAAGCUCGUUGUUCCAAAAGACAAUGGAUGUGAUGGCAAUGGAAGCCGACUGUUCCUAUGGAACUCAUUGGAUGCUAUGGAUGAAGGUAGUUUCUAAGAAGACGGUUGCUAAAGAAGUCAUCGGUUGCUGGGGAAGUCAAUGGUGGCUAGAGAAGUGUGGUUAUGGGUAUGAACGUUGUCCGUUCACUCCAUGCUCCCUGCAGGCUGGGAAAACUCUGGGAUGGUUUCACCAUGGACCUGGUCGGACCAUGAACAGGGGAGGUAACUACUGGCUCUUUCACCUGGUUCAAG